UACAUAGGGUGCAAGCGUUGUCCGGAAUUAUUGGGCGUAAAGAGCUCGUAGGUUGUUUGUCGCGUCGAUUGUGAAAAUCUGAGGCUCAACCUCAGACCUGCAGUCGAUACGGGCAGACUAGAGUGUGGUAGGGGAGACUGGAAUUCCUGGUGUAGCGGUGGAAUGCGCAGAUAUCAGGAGGAACACCAAUGGCGAAGGCAGGUCUCUGGGCCAUAACUGACACUGAGGAGCGAAAGUGCGGGGAGCGAACAGGAUUAGAUACCCUGGUAGUCCGCACCGUAAACGGUGGGCACUAGUUGUGGGAACCUUCCACGGUUUCCGCGACGCAGCAAACGCAUUAAGUGCCCCGCCUGGGGAGUACGAUCGCAAGAUUAAAACUCAAAGGAAUUGACGGGGCCCCGCACAAGCAGCGGAGCAUGCGGCUUAAUUCGACGCAACGCGAAGAACCUUACCAAGGCUUGACAUAUAGCGAAAAGUGGCAGAGAUGUCAUGUCCGCAAGGGCGCUAUACAGGUGGUGCAUGGUUGUCGUCAGCUCGUGUCGUGAGAUGUUGGGUUAAGUCCCGCAACGAGCGCAACCCUCGUUCUGUGUUACCAGCAUUCGGUUGGGGACUCACAGGAGACUGCCGGGGUCAACUCGGAGGAAGGUGGGGAUGACGUCAAAUCAUCAUGCCCCUUAUGUCUUGGGCUGCACGCAUGCUACAAUGGCCGGUACAAAGUGCUGCGAGAUCGUAAGAUUGAGCGAAUCACAUAAAGCCGGUCUCAGUUCGGAUUGAGGUCUGCAACUCGACCUCAUGAAGUCGGAGUUGCUAGUAAUCGUAGAUCAGCAACGCUACGGUGAAUACGUUCCCGGGGCU
rnacentral:rRNA from 1 species